rnacentral:lncRNA from 1 species
AGGCAGAGAGGAGUGCAGCAUGCAACUUAUCCCCUGUGAGUUGAACUCCAAUGCAUGUACUCCUGGCUGGAGUUGGACAUACUGGCUGGGAGAGGCAGGGGCACACCGGGGGACUGCAUCGACUUGGCUACUGAGCAAAGAGAGCUCUUUCUCAUCCCUAAUGGUGUGAGUUACAGCGGUGGACCCUACAGAUUCCCUCACUCCCAGUGCCCACCUUCUCUGGCUCUGAGUUCUAAAGCAGAAUUCUGGCCACUUCUGAACAAUCCCUGCCUUUGUCUUUGAAAAGGAAACCGAACAGCCAAGUUCUAUCUAAUGCAGGACUUAACCCUGGGGGUAUGGGCUCGGUCGCCAUGCUGCUGCCACCAAGUUCACUAUGUUCAGAGGACACCGAGAUACUGCUCCGCACAGGCUGUGGCCACUGUCACUUCCACCACACUGGCUGAACGACCGCUCAAAGUACCAAACGGACACCACAGUCCGCCAGCAGCAGCCAUGGCUUUGUGUGGUCUGAUGAUGGCAACGGGAGGCAAAGCAACUGAGCCAGGGGCAGGACAUGCUGGUGACCAUCGCAAGCUGGUUGGGAGCAUGGUCUCAGCUCUGGGCAUGUGGAACAGGAUGAGAAGACUCGAGAGAGGGAGAAUCCAAGGACGGCAUAAAGUGUCUCGUGGAAUUCAUGCACUUCAGCGGAGGAAGCAAGGGUCAGGGGGCAAAGUUUCAUCCCAGAACCAUUUCUUCUACAGGAGCAGGAGGCUUCACCAUGCGCCUCCCCUUCCCAAGCAUUGCCGGGCUUCCCCCAGCUACCAGCUCACCACCCUCCCAAACGUCCCACGCACGGACCAAGACCUUGGAAGGCACUUCCAGGAGUCCUCCCCAGCAGAGGAGCUUGCACUCCCUAGGUUUCUACUCCUGGCCUUCUCCUGUCACUUCACAGUCAUCCCCACCAUUUCCUCUUCCUUAUCUUUCCUCUGAUCCAAGAGUAAACCAAGGAGCACUGGCCACGUGCACAAGUGUGUGAAGGAUGAAGCAGUCACACCAGUCCGGGGGAGAUGAACGGAGGUCGUCAGACUCUAGACCUGGAUGCCCCAAAGCCUCCCUGAGUGGAAGGUGAGCAGAUCCUGGGUGCGGUUCUCACCACAGGAUCCGUCCACUUGUGAGUCAGCCUAUUGUAGACAGCUAAGUUAAUUACGUAUCUCCCAGGCAGUGAGACAAGGCUGGCCCUCCAGCAGUCCAAGUGAAAGACAAUCCAAAUACACUGACUGAAGGUCAGCACUACACUCACAUGCUUCCCCUGGAGAUGAAUAGCAGUGACUGAUAUUCUAAAUAGGCAUCAAUCACUCUGGGAGGGGAACAAAACCUCCAGAGCCCAUUCCAUUCCUUCCGGGGAAGUCCUAGUUCCUUCCAAAAGUGCUCACCACCUGAUUAGCUUCCCCAUUUGACUGCCAUUUAAUCAACACUACCUAAGUGAUUAUACGUGUUGCAAUCUUAUUGGUUGGAUCAUAGUUUUGUCCCACCUGGAGAUUUCCCAUUGGAUCGCUAUUACCUCAGGGACUGUGCUCCUAAUAGUUGUCUGAAGUUUUGUCCCACCUUGAACCCGCCUCACCCCAUAGCUUUGCUCAAUAAAAGACCUUUGAGAAGCAGGGUGGGUGGACAACCCACUUUCUGGUCCCCCCCCACUAUCUUAGACAGAAGCCAUCUUUCUCUCAAUAAAUUUUUCCUACUCUUAACCUCCUCUGUUCCUAGGAUUCAUUCUUCAAUUUUAGAGAACACAAACUCAAGUUGCAGGUAUCUAGCAGGCUGGGAGUUGUCCCAUGUCCUUAUUUGCUCAUUUGGAUUACUGGGUCCCCUCUACAGAGUCCAUGGCUGAGUGUGUGGCUGGGGAGGUGGGGCUGGUGAGACAUGGGUCUCCGGGUCGCCCUGGAAGGACAUAUUCUUCUCUUCCCACAUCCCCUGCCUCCGGGCCGCCAUGACCUGAGCAGCUGUCCUCCACCCAGGCCCUGUCACCCGUGCUGCUGCCUUGGAGUCAGCUCACCAUGGAAUUCGAGCCAAAAUCAACCUUUCUUCCUUUACGUUUCGAGUGAGGCAUUCUGUCCCACUGAAAGGAAAGUGACCGCAGCAGGAUGUGCAGAGCUGUCAUCUGUUGACUGUGUGAUCGUGGUUGGCAGAGUCAAUCUCCUUGAGCCUCCAUUUAUCUGCGUAAUAGGGAUGAUAAAUCUCUGCUCCUUACAUUAAAUAACACAGAAGCCACUGAAGUUUCUCCCUCAGGCCAUAACGGAACACCCAAUAAAAGGAGUGCCUGAUAUACAACUGUGACAGCCCAGCAUGGACACACACUUGCAAUCCCUGCUAUUUAGUGGCUGAGGCAGGAGGAUCACAAGAUCAAGGGCAGCCUAGGCAACUUCUUAAGCAAGACCCUAUCUCAAAAUAAAAUAAAAGGAGCUGCAAGUGUAGCUCAGAGGUAUAGCACUUGCCUAGCAUGUGCGAGGCCUUGUAUUAAAACCCAGUACCUCAAAAAACACCAAAAAUUCAUGAUCAAAAGAAAUUCUUUUGAGAUAGGGUAUCGCUAUGCA